UUGGAGGGCAAGUCUGGUGCCAGCAGCCGCGGUAAUUCCAGCUCCAAUAGCGUAUAUUAAAGUUGUUGCAGUUAAAAAGCUCGUAGUUGAAUUUCGGGAUUGACACAUCGGUCGUGCCUUAAGGGGUAUGAACUGGUGUAGUCAAUUUCUCACCUUCUGGAGAACCGCGAUGCCCUUAAUUGGGUGUCACGGAAGCAGACCUAGU
rnacentral:rRNA from 1 species